GUCCAGACUCCUACGGGAGGCAGCAGUGGGGAAUAUUGCACAAUGGGGGAAACCCUGAUGCAGCGACGCCGCGUGAGCGAUGAAGUAUUUCGGUAUGUAAAGCUCUAUCAGCAGGGAAGAAGAUGACGGUACCUGACUAAGAAGCCCCGGCUAACUACGUGCCAGCAGCCGCGGUAAUACGUAGGGGGCAAGCGUUAUCCGGAUUUACUGGGUGUAAAGGGAGCGUAGACGGCGAUGCAAGCCAGAUGUGAAAGCCCGGGGCUCAACCCCGGGACUGCAUUUGGAACUGUGUGGCUGGAGUGUCGGAGAGGCAGGCGGAAUUCCUAGUGUAGCGGUGAAAUGCGUAGAUAUUAGGAGGAACACCAGUGGCGAAGGCGGCCUGCUGGACGAUGACUGACGUUGAGGCUCGAAAGCGUGGGGAGCAAACAGGAUUAGAUACCCUUGUA
rnacentral:rRNA from 1 species